rnacentral:SRP_RNA from 1 species
GGAAGCGAUCCGCAGCAACAGUCUGGCCCCGUUGGUGGGGGGGCGGAUGGCAAUGUUGGAGC